CAGUCGCCGCGGGAAUACGUAGGGUGCGAGCGUUAAUCGGAAUUACUGGGCGUAAAGCGUGCGCAGGCGGUUUUGUAAGACAGAGGUGAAAUCCCCGGGCUCAACCUGGGAACUGCCUUUGUGACUGCAAGGCUAGAGUACGGCAGAGGGGGAUGGAAUUCCGCGUGUAGCAGUGAAAUGCGUAGAUAUGCGGAGGAACACCGAUGGCGAAGGCAAUCCCCUGGGCCUGUACUGACGCUCAUGCACGAAAGCGUGGGGAGCAAACAGGAUUAGAUACCCCGGUAGUCCCUGUCUCUUAUAA
rnacentral:rRNA from 1 species